rnacentral:sRNA from 1 species
GUUCCAGGGCGGGGCUUACUUCGCAGCGACUACUUGCCGCACUUCCGGGCUGUUGCAGCUGCUGUGACUCCAGGAUGAUGGAGACAGAGCGACUUGUGCUACCUCCUCCAGAUCCCCUGGACCUACCCCUUCGGGCCGUGGAGCUCGGAUGCACGGGGCACUGGGAGCUGCUGAACUUGCCUGGAGCUCCAGAGAGUAGCCUUCCCCAUGGCCUCCCUCCUUGUGCCCCAGAUCUGCAGCAAGAAGCAGAACAGUUGUUUCUGUCAUCCCCAGCCUGGCUGCCUCUGCAUGGUGUGGAGCACUCAGCCCGAAAAUGGCAGAGGAAGACGGAUCCCUGGUCUCUUUUGGCUGUCCUGGGAGCCCCAGUCCCAUCCGACCUACAGGCCCAAAGACACCCAACCACAGGCCAGAUACUGGGUUACAAAGAGGUCUUGCUGGAGAACACAAAUCUCUCGGCCACAACCUCCUUGUCUCUUCGCCGGCCUCCAGGGCCAGCCUCCCAGUCCUUAUGGGGAAAUCCAACUCAGUAUCCCUUCUGGCCAGGGGGGAUGGAUGAACCCACCAUAACAGAUCUGAACACACGGGAGGAGGCUGAGGAGGAGAUAGACUUUGAGAAAGAUCUUCUUACUAUUCCACCUGGUUUCAAGAAAGGCAUGGACUUUGCACCAAAAGUGCUCCCCUGGCCCGAGCAAGCAGCUUGGAGGACCUAGUGUUGAAG